AAAAACAGUGAAGUGCUUCAUACAAUUGUAUUUUUUGUUCUUAAGGAGAAAAAAAUGUUUUCCCAGUUCAUGAGCAUUUUAGGCAAUUCAAUUAAACAUUCAUGUUAUGACAUUAUAGACUGAAAGUGUGUGAAUAAUUCAUCCAGGUUAAAGUCCAUGUAUCUAGUGCUAGAUGUUUCAGUCCAUAAUGAAUGAAAUUUACACAAAAUUUAACAUCAACUGCAAAAUAAUUUAAAAGGGAUGUAGAUGUUAUGACAGUUAGGUAGCUUCCCUUCAAAUAGCCUUAAGUGCAUUAUGAUUGAAAUUGGAAGGUAUGAUCAAGAGAAUGGUUUGUUUAAUCAUGUUAUGUAUGUCCUCUUUUCCUAGAAUGCCCCUCAGGCAGUCUUCAGUCUUUCAUUCCAAAGAAAUAUGGUGGGGUACACACACAAAUCUCACUUAGCACAUGUAACCCAUAAUUUCCACACUCUACAUUCGACUUCAUCUCUUUACUUAAACCUCACAGGCAAACAUCCACUGUAGUGUUAAUGUUCUCAAUUUGAUGUGUGAUAGAAUGCAGAUGGAAAAGUGGUGGCGGUGUAGCUUUUUGCAGCACACCAGAGCUCCACACAAAUUAUUCUACACAUUAAAUUAUUUCAUCUAUUUUGUAUUAUUAUAAAUAGUUCAUGUUUCUUGUUAUUAUUACUGCUGUUCCAGCCACAUUUUCCCUUUUCGCUAACUACAGCUAUAAUGGCUCCCGGGCCUCAGGACGCCAAGUUGAGCAUGACGGGGGGAAGGAAUUAGCGCCCCACAAUACCUCGGACGUGCUUCCCACUAAGCCUGGAGUACCAGAAUAACCUCUUUCAGCUUCCCAAAAUGCUCAUGGUUUGGUAUAUGGAC